rnacentral:rRNA from 1 species
UGCGUAGGUGGCAGAACAAGUCUGGAGUAAAAGGUAUGGGCUCAACCCGUACUGGCUCUGGAAACUGUUCAGCUAGAGAACAGAAGAGGACGGCGGAACUCCAUGUGUAGCGGUAAAAUAGCGUAGAUAUAUGGAAGAACACCGGUGGCGAAGGCGGCCGUCUGGUCUGUUGCUGACACUGAAGCACGAAAGCGUGGGGAGCAAAUA